GGCUCCCUGGCCCCCACCUAUAGGGAGUCCAGCCUGCUCAAUGAUGUUCAACCAUUAAAUAGCCGCGGUACCCUGACCGCGCAAAGGUAGCAUAAUAACUUGCCUUCUAAUUGGUGGCUAGAAUGAAGGGCUAGACGAGAGUAACCCUGUCUCUUGAUUAUUUUAUUGAAACUACCUAUUAGGUGAAAAGGCCUAAAUAAAUUUACAAGACAAGAAGACCCUAUCGAACUUAAAGCCUUACCAGAAAUCUAAACCAAAAUCUACAAUAGCUUUUAGUUGGGGCAACUAAGGAACAAAUAAAACUUCCCACACAAAAAAUACUAACAAGUUUAAGCGACCCGGGAUGACACCCCGAUCUAAGAAAAUAGUUACCGUAGGGAUAACAGCGUUAUUCUCUUUGUGAGUUCUUAUUAAAAAGAGAGUUUGCGACCUCGAUGUUGGAUUAGGGCAUCCCAAAAGUGCAGAAGCUUUUAAAGGCUGGUUUGUUCAACCAUUAAAGCCCUACAU
rnacentral:rRNA from 1 species